AUUGAAACAGAAUCAAAAAAGUGAUUCCUCCAAAAGCACUUCCUAGACAUGCUUCUCUCCUCUCACACGGCUUCCGCUCAAACUCUCUCUCCGCCGCACCAAAACUCACGCCCGACAACAGUGGAGAUCUGACCUUCUAUUGAGACUACACCAAACCAAAUUGUUCUUCGAUCUUAACCUAACUACAAAAUUAACUUCUCCUAAUUCUUAACGAACAACCUGAAUCGGAGGAGAGUUUCCAUGAAUCUCAAGAUUUGUCGGUUAAAUCAGGUGGCGAAACCGUGAUAACUCAUCUAACUAGUUCAAGGAUAAUGAUCCUCCGGUAGAACCUACGCUCCAAUAACAAGCUUACAGUGAAAACGAGGGAAGAAAUAAAUACCUUUGGUAUGAACUCCGGCAGGGAUGAGCAGUGGACCAUGGAUGUGGUUGCUCCGAUUCGAUUGAUGAAUUCUCUCUCUUAGUUUGAGCGCCUUUUCUACCUUCCGUUUUCUUCAACUGAGAUCGCACCUUCUUCCUUUUCUUGCUCACUCGAUACGAUUCUGGUAACGCGUUGCGGUUCUUGGCCGAGUUGUUGCAGUGUGGUUCGUUAAUGGAUUUUGGAGAAACCGAACGGCGUGACGACGACGUUCACCGGAUGCAGACUUCAGUGAUGGAUGGAGAUGAUGAGGAGCGGUGAGGAUGAAGUAGUUUGCGCGCGGUAGCUCUGUUGUAGGUUUUGUAGAAGAAAUUGCCGAUGGAAGAGAUGAAUGGAGAGUUGAGUCCAAUUGGUGAAGAACUCAGAAAGAUAGAAGGUGAUGGAAAGAAAUGGAAUCCGAUUUUUGGUUGAAGGAUCCUCCAGAGCUUGGUUAAAGGUUGAACUUCUCGGUUGUGAGUCGAAAGUUGUUUUGAGCUGUGGUGUUCGCGUUUUGGAGGUUGGCUAUGGCUUAGAGCUUGGCGCUUGCACUGCUGCGUUUUGGUGUUGUUGCAGUUUGGCGUGCGUUUUGUUGGAGGCUCGUGCAUUAGCUGCGUUUUGCAACUCUGAGUUGUUGUGGCUUGAAGCUUUGGAUUGUUUUCACAUGUACUUUCCUGCUGCAAUUAUUUCAUUUUUCCUUAUUGUACAUUAACAUUGGAUUUGGACAAAUGGUUUUCUUGUGAAUUUUGGAUGAACAACAUUGGAAGUGGAUAUGGAUGUAUGUAAUAUGUAGUUAAAAUGGAUAA